UGGAACGCGCAGAUGCUCUCGCCAUCAGCGGAGGACAAUGCUCAGCUGACAGAAGUCGGGAGCCUGGGACGCUACAGCUCUGUGUCCCGUGUGGGAGACGUCGGGAUCGUUGAUCCUCAAAGGGCCAAUUUCUCAGCUAUUGAAUGGGAAUUACAAAGUCAGCUUCAUGGGACUCCAGGAGCUCAGCUUUCUCCAUCCGCUUCCAUCCGGCACCGAAUGCAGAGCCUUCUUUCUAACAGCAUCAUGGAGAUUGGGGCCACUGACCCACAAAGAGCACGGAAACCAAGUGGUAGAAGUGUUCAUAAACACAAGGACAAAAAUCCAAGGAACAUGAUCCAAAACUUGGGGUAUGGUUAUCCUGAGGUCAUUAGAUUUCCUUCUGGGUUGACCUUGACUUGCUUUUUGUUUUUUGAGGGUUUUGUUUGUUUAUUUUUGUUUUUGUUUUUUUGCAUCAGUUGUGGGUUGAGAGAUGGGAGAGACAGGCUCCUUUGCCACUUCCGCCAUGGCUAUUUUGACAGAGGCAUGGGGAGACCAGCUCCCACACAUCCGCAUUUAUCAUAAAGCUGCGGCCUUGGAACAAGAACAAUGGAUGGCUCCACACCUGUUGUCUUUUUCCAGCCAACAUCCUGUGCUGAAGCCCAUGUUCUGGCCAUAGAUUUCAAAUCCUUAACUGCACUGCGAAAGAUCUAGCUGUCUACAUUAGAUGCAUGGUUUUAGCCAGGAGAUACCUCAGACAUAGCCAGUUCUAUUUGUGAGUAGGUAAGACACACUACAAAUUCAUAAGCAUCUAGUUUUUUUAAAAUUUAUUUUAAACAGCUUUAUUGAGGCAUGUAUAAUAAAACAUGUGCCUUUAAAGGGU